UGAGAAUGACUUAGUGGUCAGAGUGCUUGGACGGUAUUUAAGAAGCGCAGGUUCAAAUCCUGCUACGUUCAA
rnacentral:tRNA from 1 species